UCAGAACUAUACUCUUAAAGACAUGAAAAAGAAAUAUGCGAAGUGUCCAUAGAUCAACAUUUACCAAGCUGAUGUUUACUAAGCAUCACACCAUAUCCUGCAUCAUGCAAUGGUUCAGUGAUACCAGAACCUGAAAUUCUAAUAAAAAGAAUCAAUAAGGUAACAAAAUAAGGCUAACCUAGACGUGGUUUCAGCAGCUCAUAGAGAAGCAAGGGAAAGAUGUGCAAACAACCUCCUAAAGUCUUAGAAGUGAAUCCAUCACUACUAACACACUCAAUUGGAGAAGUUCAGAAUAAAAAAGACCCUAGAAGGAGAAGGUAUCUGAUUGAAGAAGUCUGAUUGCUUCUGGGAAGUGAAGUGGAAGUCUGGCCGUGAAUGUAAAGUGCUCCUGGCUACAGCUCUUCAGAGCAAUUUUUCUUGCCCUGUCAGGUGAGUUCAACAAAGUAGAAAAGUUAUGGUCUGUCUAGAGGCUCGACUUGUAAAGGAUGUUUACUUGUAAGGCUAUUUGACUGCACUUAGUGCACUGAAGAACAAUCCUUUGACCUCAUGAUGAGUAAAGGAGAGACAGAAUGAAAUGUUGCAUUCAGAGGGCACCACUCUGUGAGACGUAUGGGCUAGCGUGACAGAGAUAUUCCCCUUUAAUUAUCCAAAGAAAUCCCACUGUUAACUUUAAAUUGAUAGAGUCCAGAAAACAGACAGUGAUUCAGAGGUAGAACAAAAAACAUAAAACACAAAUAUUUGUGUAAUGUCUCAAUGCAUUGAGAUUUAAACAUAAUAAAUAGGUUUUAUUAUAAAUUUACAAAUUGUACGUUUGUGGCCACUUUUAUAUGUAAUCUCAUAUUUCAGAUGUAAAAGGAGGACACUAAUACUUAUUGAAGAGUUAAUUUGAUAUAUGCUUCUCUUAAGAUAUACAUUUUCAAUCAUUUCAAGAAUAUAUUCACUCUAAUUACUUAAAUUGUAAUUCAUUCUAAGCUAAAUUUAUACAUUGUAUUUCACUAUAAGACCCACAUUCUUUUCACUACUGAAUGUCUCUGAAACCAGGUUGCUUUAUUAAAAUGGAUAAUGUAUCAGAAAUUAAUUGACAGCAUUUUGUCAUUCUUAAUAGUGUGGAAUAUAACGGUAUUUCGUCUGAUGGCUCCUUGGCUUUAAUAUAUGACAGUUGUUGCACCACUGAUUUCUCUAGAAAUUCUACCCUGCUCACUUCAUCAAUGCUCUUAACCUUUAUUUUGUUCUCUCCUUGUAGGAUGAUUCUAUAAUUUAUCUUCCAACUCACAACUCUUACGAAAGUGAAGAGGGUGCUGAAAAUAGUUGUGCUAAGGUAUUAGGUGAUAAAAAAGGCCCUGUCCCAAUUAAACUAGAACUCUCACCCCAGAGAAGGGGAUACUGGCAUACACACAUGGCUUCAUGACCUGCCUUAGUGCACAAACAUAUACACACAGUCACAGCCCAUCCAGGAACUUCUAAUUAAGAUGUAUGACCUGCGAUGGCUAUCCUAAGAAAUCUCUCUUUUGUUUUUAGGAGAAAAAAGUCUUAAUAAAAUAUUCACUUUGGGUGUCUAAAUAGAUGUUGGAUAAGUUCUUAAAAUAUUUUUUAGUGAUGUAAAUGUACUACCUCUAAACUUGUUUAAAAUUGUCACUGGCAGGGCUCAUAGUAUUUACCUAUUUAUCUAUUCAUUCAUUUUUAUAUAAUUUUGUUUUACAAAGUGUAGAAUACACACUAGGUUAUUAUUAUAGAAGGAAUAAAUGAAUUUGAGCUUAUUGUAACAUCAUUUAUUUCUUCAUUGAGUAUGGAAAACAGACCUGAAUGAAAUUCAGCUUGACAUUAGUUACCUAAUGAUUGUCUUAGGGUCAGGAUGAAAGAUUUGAAAGCUAAAAUUGUAAAGAAUUGGAACAUCAAAAGGAGUUUAUUGCUUUAUAAAUACAAUUAAUUAUAUAUUGUGUUAUUAAUAUUCGACAUUUCUCCCAAAUAUGUACAGAAAUAACAUUUUAGGAAACAGCCUAUUGGCAGUAACCGUUAUAUAGAAAUUUGUAUUAUUUAGGAAAAUCAAGAUAUUAUAGAAAAUGGGACCUUAUAUACGAACACUUCAGAAGCUGAGUCUUGUAAAUGAUAAGAUGAAUUUUUUUCAUUCCAGAAAGAGAAGAGACUAAAUAAAUUCUGUCGUAUUUGAUAAACUUAGAUACCACACGUAUCUUUUUUGAGAUGGUUAUACUAGUGAUAUUGGAUUUCAUAUAUAGUCAAUGAAUAAAAAAUAGUCUGUGUGAAUGUUUGACUCAGAUGUAUUUUAUGCAAAUUUAAGUACGGUUUCAGUAAGCACUGAAAAUAUAGCAUUAUUCACUAUUCUAAAAUCUUCUGGUUGAUUGGGAAAUUUUAACAUAUUUCAAAAGACUGCAUUUUGGGCUGGUUCUUUAUACCCAAAAGAGUUUCCAUUAUAUGGUAGAAGCAAUGGUAAAAAUAAUUGCAAAUCUGUUGUUUCAUGAGUUGGAAAUUUUUGGGGAAUUCUAAGAUUUCCUUUCAAAAGUCUCUGCAUCUCUGUGUGAUUUUUUUACUGAGCCAUUUCUUGUGUCAUCAAAUGGCAGUAUUCAGGAUGUGAAUAGUUUCCUAUCAGAGGUCGAAUAUUGUGGGUAGAAGCCCUAAAUAGAAAAUCUAGAGAUCACUAUUUAAAUUGUAGAUCUUCACAUUUUGGGGGCAAGGCAUGAAUCAUUGAGUUGGUCAGUAUCAUAGUCUAAAGGUCAUAAUGGUCAUUGUGGGGGAUAAAUAUCAAGUAUUCACUAAAGCAGGUGGUGAUUCUGUGGGUCUCCUGAGAGGUAUAGCUAACCAAAAUGCAACCUCCAACCUAUGGGCAGAUAUUUUCAUUCUUUACAGCCCUGAGAUUAAAGAAGUUAGGGCUGGAUGCAGUGGCUCACGCCUGUAAUCUCAGCUACUUGGGAGGCUGAGACAUGAGAAUUGCUUGAACCCAGGAGGUGGAGGUUGUAGUGAGCCAAGAUCACACCAUUGCACUCCAGCCUGGGCACCAGAGGGAGGCUCUGUUUCAAAGAAAAAAAAAAGAAAAGAAAAAUAUCUGUUGAAUAUGGUGCUGGAUACCUCAGUUGGUUGUAACGGUGUAUUUUCUUAGAAAUAUGGUAAAAUUUACUAUAUACACAUUUAAAUGUAAAGCUACAGGAAUGUUUUCUGUACAGUAGAUAAAAUUUGCAUUGUUAAUCUGUUUUUAUUGGCAUGAUUUAUAACUGAUUUUCUGGAAUAGAUAACAGAUUUUCAUUGAUCCAUACUCACUAGCUUUUAGAUCUCAAAACUCACGAGUAGUAGUUAGAAGAGCUAAAAAAUUCUGGGAAAGAGGAUGAGUAUAAGGAGAGAGACUAAGUAGCCUGAGAUAAGAAACUAGAUGUCUUAACCAUUAUGAAAAUAGAAAAGAAAGUAAUUUUUAUAUAUAUACACACACACUAUAUAUAUAUACACAUUCAAUAUAUAUGCACAAAAUAUACAUUAAAUAUAUAUGUUGAAUGUAUAAAAUCAUAUUUUAUAUAUUUACACACACAUAUAUAUAGGGCAAUUCCAGGAGAGGAUAUAAAAUGUGUACAAAUACUCUUGAAGCUAAUUUAAACAUAAAACACUUUUUGUCUAAUGUAAUCUUAUAAACUAGUAAUCCAUCUUCAAUCUGUUUUAAAAAUGUUGCUUUGAGUGGAGGAAUGACAGCUGAAGAAUACAAAUGUUAUAUGGACAUAUGAAAACAUAUAUAUGCUUACAACUG
rnacentral:lncRNA from 10 species